GUCUGGUAGGUGUUGCAGCUGAAGUUCUUGUUGCUGAGGCAGGUUAGGAACCCUCUGGAGAUGCUGGAGAGGAGUGGUUUCAGUUUCACCUCCAUCCACACCUUUAUCAGGUCCUCAUCUUGGUAGGCUUCUGUCUCUGGGUUCACACUGAUACCCAGCUCUAGUUUGAACACUGGGGUCUGGGAUAGACUGGAUCUCUGCAGAGGGGGAGACAGGGGUUAAAGUUCACACUGAUACCCAGCUCUAGUUUGAACACUGGGGUCUGGGAUAGACUGGAUCUCUGGAGAGGGGGAGACAGGGGUUAAGGUUCACACUGAUACCCAGCUCUAGUCCAAACACUGGGGUCUGGGAUAGACUGGAUCUCUGGAGAGGGGGAGACAGGGGUUAAGGUUCACACUGAUACCCAGCUCUAGUCCUAACACUGGGGUCUGGGAUAGACUGGAUCUCUGGAGAGGGGGAGACAGGGGUUAAGGUUCACAAUGAUACCCAGUUCUAGUCCGAACACUGGGGUCUGGGAUAGACUGUAUCUCUGGAGAGGGGGAGACAGGGGUUAAGUAUAUAAUAACAUGCUGGUAGACCUCAGCUUCUGUG
ensembl:lncRNA